rnacentral:lncRNA from 1 species
AGACACGCGUUAGGAUCAAAGCAAAUCCGCCGGGGGUAGUAGCAAAGUAGAGGAGGGUACAAAUAACCACUCGUUCCGUGAUUGCCACGCAUUCACCAGAGACGAGCGAGCGUAAAUGUUGCGUGAAAAGCCACGGAACGGAAUUGCGUUAUCAGCCACGAACGAUCGUGCACUUUUACAAGCACCUCCGGAUCAGGAAGUACACAUUUGAAAUGGUCGCAGUUGCACCACUGAUUAGAUGGCCUUCCAGCGAAUCAAUUGUGCGAUGCAAUAAUCGUACUUUCGCAAUUGCGACGAAUCAUGAAAGGAGGAGUGGGUGUGAUAUCCUUGAUGGGUCUGGUAAUACUACAUCCGAUGUCUCCUCGAAUAUGCUGAUUAUUGUUGCGGUCGUUGAAGAAAGGAUAUAUGCGUUUGAUAAUUGCGAUUUGUAAUUUAUAAUCUGUAAGCUUGUUGAAAUUUCCCAACUAUAAAACCAACGAAAAACCGUAUUUUAUCUUUCCAUGAACUUAUAAACUUCUUGCACGAUCUUUUCGCUGAAAAUAAAAAUAUGAAAUAUUCGUCGCAAAAGAUCGUGGCAGAAGUUACAAUUGCAACGAGAUACUCGUUCAACGAAUCUGAUCUCUAUUUUCU